rnacentral:rRNA from 1 species
AGCUCCAAUAGCGUAUAUUAAAGUUGUUGCGGUUAAAAAGCUCGUAGUUGGAUUUCUGCUGAGGACGACCGGUCCGCCCUCUGGGUGAGUAUCUGGCUUGGCCUUGGCAUCUUCUUGGAGAACGUAGCUGCACUUGACUGUGUGGUGCGGUAUCCAGGACUCUUACUUUGAGGAGAUUAGAGUGUUUCAAGCAGGCGCACGCCUUGAAUACAUUAGCAUGGAAUAAUAAGAUAGGACCUUGGUUCUAUUUUGUUGGUUUCUAAAGCUGAGGUAAUGAUUAAUAGGGAUAGUUGGGGGCAUUCGUAUUUAACUGUCAAUGGUGGAAUUCUUUGAUUUGUUAAAGACGGACUACUGCGAAAGCAUUUGCCAAGGAUGUUUUCAUUG